rnacentral:rRNA from 1 species
GACAGAGGGUGCAAACGUUGUUCGGAAUUACUGGGCGUAAAGCGCGUGUAGGCGGCUGCGCAAGUCGGAUGUGAAAUCCCAUGGCUCAACCAUGGAAGUGCACCCGAAACUGCGUAGCUAGAGUCUCGGAGAGGAGGGCGGAAUGCUUGGUGUAGAGGUGAAAUUCGUAGAUAUCAAGCGGAACACCGGUGGCGAAGGCGGCCUUCUGGACGAUGACUGACGCUGAGACGCGAAAGCGUGGGGAGCGAACAGG